rnacentral:rRNA from 1 species
GACAGAGGUGCCGAGCGUUAGGCGGAAUCACUGGGCUUAAAGCGUGUGUAGGCGGGUCGUUAAGUGUCUUGUGAAAUCCCCCGGCUCAACCGGGGAAUGGCUGGGCAUACUGGCGAUCUUGAGCAGUCUAGGGGCAGAUGGAACAAGUGGUGGAGCGGUGAAAUGCGUAGAUAUCGCUUGGAACGCCAAAGGUGAAAACAGGUUGCUGGGGUUGUGCCGACGCUGAGACACGAAAGCCAGGGGAGCAAACGGG